AUUGAACGCUGGCGGCAUGCCUUACACAUGCAAGUCGAACGGCAGCACGGGAGCAAUCCUGGUGGCGAGUGGCGAACGGGUGAGUAAUAUAUCGGAACGUGCCCAGUCGUGGGGAUAACGUAGCGAAAGCUACGCUAAUACCGCAUACGAUCUAUGGAUGAAAGCGGGGGAUCGCAAGACCUCGCGCGAUUGGAGCGGCCGAUAUCAGAUUAGGUAGUUGGUGAGGUAAAGGCUCACCAAGCCGACGAUCUGUAGCUGGUCUGAGAGGACGACCAGCCACACUGGGACUGAGACACGGCCCAGACUCCUACGGGAGGCAGCAGUGGGGAAUAUUGGACAAUAGGGCGAAAGCCGAUCCAGCAAUGCCGCGUGAGUGAUGAAGG
rnacentral:rRNA from 1 species